rnacentral:rRNA from 1 species
GACGCACGUUUGCCUUAUGUGAAUACCCUGUGGGAGCGACCUUAAAUCUCCCCUUUUAGUCGGCCCUCUUUGGCCGGCGACGCUAUCAUUCUGUGUACUGGAAGCAUCCUCUAGAGGUACAACCAGCAGCUCCUCAUGGAGUUCACAGGUCAAACGAUGGCGGCCACUUAGCGCGGUUUAGAUAUGAUCGGCCCCAUCCAUUAGCGGAUGGCGAAUGUUUUUGCGGAACCUGCGGAAGGAUCAUU